AACGCACAUUGCGCCCUGUGGUAUUCCACAGGGCAUGCCUGUUUGAGCGUCAUUUCUCCUUCAAACUUCUAGUUUGGAUUUGGGCUUGGGGAAGCUUUAUACCCAGCCUGAAAUAGUGGGCGUACUACUUUUGUCUUAGUUGUACACAAUGAGUUAGGUUCUGCCAGUUCGUUGGAUAUAACUAUUAAAGAAGCUGUACAAAUACCAGCCCAUUUUAUACCCCCCCCAAAUUUGACCUCAAAUCAGGUAGGACUACCCGCUGAACUUAA
rnacentral:misc_RNA from 1 species